UUAGCUCCGGUGAGAACCUGCUUUCCUGAACCAGUGUUUAUGAAAAAGGGGAACGCAUCCGGCAAACGCAAUAGGUUGUGGUGUCAUCUAGAGGGCGGUGUUCAUCAUCAAUCGGUGGUGUUCGAUUGUUUAUUAGGGCAGUGGUAAGUGGAAUUGGUACUAAAGCAAUCGAUUGGUUGUGUUCAAUGGUUUAGUGCAGUGUGCAUCACUGUUGUUUGGUCUCUACAUUCUGAAUUGGUUGCGUGUGAUGUGGAAACAAAAAUGAUGCUUCCAGCAUUUUUCAUGAACAACAUACAGAGAUUGUGCGUUAUAUUUUGGUCUCAACAGCAUUUGUCAUGAACAAGGAGUCAACUGAUCGGAGUUUGACUGAAUCUGAGUUUUCGACAGUACUUUAUGCUAUUCAUGAGGUUGUAAGCAUUAACAAUAAGAUCUGGACGACUUUCAAACCUUUUUACUCAUUUUGACUUGACGCAUUUGAGAUAUAAUACAAUGCAAUUCAGCCAAUCUCGGACGGUGAGCGGAAAAUGUUUAAUUUUGUGCGGGUGAGGCAUCAGCUAUUCUCUUACCAUAAAACUCUCAAAAUCAUGCUCCCAAAGAUAAGUGCAGGUGGUUCUCUAUCUAAUAUAUUAGAUCAGUGUAUGGUAUGUUUUGCCAUAUGUAUGUGACUUUAAAACAUCUCUAAUUUUGUUAUUAAAACCCAAUAUUAAUCCUCUUUGUGCCUCACAGUAUCGCGCCAUGAGACUUGGUUGGGUUGGAUUGUAUUUUCGUGGCUUGCUUCCACCUCUCUUUGAAGGGUAAAUUACAUAUCUUUUUUAUUUGUUUAUGUUCAUUAUUCACAAAGUACACAAUUUCACUUUUAGUCGCUUGUGCAGAGGUAACAGUUAUACUGGUCAUAGUAAUUCACCUGUUUACACAAUGCAUAACACUUAUUUGUUAAAUCGUAUCACCAAAUAUAAAAUCAAUGUCGCAUGAUUCUGCUUAGGGGUGCCCCAAUGGUUUAUUAGUGAUGGAAGGGGGGGUUGUUCGACGCUGGGUUUAAGGGCGGUUUGUGGUGGACAUGGUGGUUGGAGAUACGACAGUCACUGGCACCGUUUUCUAUAACCAAUGUAAAGAUGGCCAGUUUGAUGCUCAAGAUUAUCCUCUUGGUGGUGAAGACAUUAGCGACACAAAGAAGACUAGGUGCCCGGACGUGUGAAGUAAAAAACUUUUGUGAUCUACGUAUAAACGGAAGAUUAUGUAAAUGUUAAAACUGUACUUCUAUAAUUCUCUAAUAUGUCACGUAUAAGUAAAAUGUUCAAACCGUGAACGAUUCGGCUUAGCGCGCUGCAACGCAAGCGUGGGUAUAAACCUAGUUUGUAUUAAUUGGGGUUUUGUGUUUGCCUUUUUGGUUUUCAAUAUAUGUUGAUAGUUUGGGAU
rnacentral:lncRNA from 1 species